CCUACGGGAGGCAGCAGUGGGGAAUAUUGCACAAUGGGCGCAAGCCUGAUGCAGCAACGCCGCGUGAGGGACGACGGCCUUCGGGUUGUAAACCUCUUUUAGUAGGGAAGAAGCGAAAGUGACGGUACCUGCAGAAAAAGCACCGGCUAACUACGUGCCAGCAGCCGCGGUAAUACGUAGGGUGCAAGCGUUAUCCGGAAUUAUUGGGCGUAAAGAGCUCGUAGGCGGUUUGUCGCGUCUGCUGUGAAAACUGGAGGCUCAACCUCCAGCCUGCAGUGGGUACGGGCAGGCUAGAGUGCGGUAGGGGAGAUUGGAAUUCCUGGUGUAGCGGUGGAAUGCGCAGAUAUCAGGAGGAACACCGAUGGCGAAGGCAGAUCUCUGGGCCGUAACUGACGCUGAGGAGCGAAAGCAUGGGGAGCGAACAGGAUUAGAUACCCUGGUAGUCCAUGCCGUAAACGUUGGGAACUAGAUGUAGGGACCAUUCCACGGUUUCUGUGUCGCAGCUAACGCAUUAAGUUCCCCGCCUGGGGAUACGGCCGCAAGGCUAAAACUCAAAUGAAUUGACGG
rnacentral:rRNA from 1 species